rfam:Schistosoma margrebowiei strain Zambia genome assembly, scaffold: SMRZ_scaffold0001761
AUCCAGCUGACGAGUCCCGAGUAGAACGAAACGUACGUCCUGAAU